rnacentral:rRNA from 1 species
AUUGAACGCUGGCGGCAUGCCUUACACAUGCAAGUCGAACGGCAGCACGGGAGCAAUCCUGGUGGCGAGUGGCGAACGGGUGAGUAAAGCAUCGGAACGUGCCCAGUCGUGGGGGAUAACGUAGCGAAAGCUACGCUAAUACCGCAUACGAUCUGUGGAUGAAAGCGGGGGACCGUAAGGCCUCGCGCGAUUGGAGCGGCCGAUGUCAGAUUAGGUAGUUGGUGAGGUAAAGGCUCACCAAGCCGACGAUCUGUAGCUGGUCUGAGAGGACAACCAGCCACACUGGGACUGAGACACGGCCCAGACUCCUAAGGGAGGCAGCAGGGGGGAAUGUUGGACAAUGGGCGCAAGCCUGAUCCAGCAAUGCCGCGUGCAGGAUGAAGGCCUUCGGGUUGUAAACUGCUUUUGUACGGAGCGAAACGGCUUCCACUAAUACUGGGGGCUAAUGACGGUACCGUAAGAAUAAGCACCGGCUAACUACGUGCCAGCCGCCGCAGUAAUAC